rnacentral:rRNA from 1 species
GGAAUACUAAACUAGUUACCGUCCACAGUGGAAUCAGCGACUGGGGUGAAGUCGUAACAAGGUAACCGUAGGAGAACCUGCGGUUGGAUCACCUCCUUUCUAGA